rnacentral:rRNA from 1 species
AACGAACGCUGGCGGCAGGCUUAACACAUGCAAGUCGAGCGCCCCUCCUUCAAGCAAGCUUGAAGGAAUUUUUCCUUGAAAAGAGAAGAUCAGAAAGCUUCUAAAGAAGCUUUCUUGAUGGAGGGGAGCGGCAGACGGGUGAGUAACGCGUGGGAAUAUGCCCUUCACUACGGAAUAGCCCAGGGAAACUUGGAUUAAUACCGUAUACGCCCUUUGGGGGAAAGAUUUAUCGGUGAAGGAUUAGCCCGCGUUGGAUUAGGUAGUUGGUGGGGUAAUGGCCUACCAAGCCUACGAUCCAUAGCUGGUUUGAGAGGAUGAUCAGCCACACUGGGACUGAGACACGGCCCAGACUCCUACGGGAGGCAGCAGUGGGGAAUCUUAGACAAUGGGGGCAACCCUGAUCUAGCCAUGCCGCGUGAGUGAUGAAGGCCUUAGGGUUGUAAAGCUCUUUCAGCUGGGAAGAUAAUGACGGUACCAGCAGAAGAAGCCCCGGCUAACUCCGUGCCAGCAGCCGCCGUAAGAC